UACGGAGGGUGCGAGCGUUGUCCGGAAUCACUGGGCGUAAAGGGCGCGUAGGCGGUUUGGUCAGUCAGGCGUGAAAUUCCUGGGCUUAACCUGGGGGCUGCGCUUGAUACAUCCAGACUUGAGUGGGGAAGAGGGUCGUGGAAUUCCCAGUGUAGAGGUGAAAUUCGUAGAUAUUGGGAAGAACACCGGUGGCGAAGGCGGCGACCUGGUCCUUUACUGACGCUGAGGCGCGAAAGCGUGGGGAGCAAACAGG
rnacentral:rRNA from 1 species